GAUUUAGGGCCGGGCGAUUCCGCUGGCGGCCGCCAAGGUGCCAAUUACUGCUCGGCCGGGCCUGGAUUUCAAAAAUUCCUGCUCUUCCCCUGGAAGUUCCGGCGUCGCUCCUCCGAGGGAAGACACAACUCCCACCUUGGAGAGAAAACCGGGAUCCUGGGACGGGCUGUGCGGAGAAACCGAGCCCAGGGUGGUCCCGGGAGCCCCGUCAUCCCAGGAGGCUGGGCUCUAGAAAGGCCGGUAGCCUCCAUCCUCUCCCAGGCCCGGGCCCUCAGCGGUUCAACUUAGAGGCCCCCUCUCACCUGGUAACCCACCCUCACCUUCUGCGUCAUAAAGGAAACAUUGAGACCACCGGAUGUGAACUCUCAACUUCCUGCCCACCGCCCACAGAAGUAUCCAGCCUGUGCCUCCUUCCUCCUGCUUUCUGAAGCUGGUUCCUCGCCGGGCCGGGAGCCCUUUCCUCUCCGGUCUCUUAGAGAACCUAGACUUGGCUCCUCUCUCCAGUAUUUUUUUCUUUAAAAAUGAGUUUAUAUUUACAGAAAAUUUCAGCCUAAUACAGAGUUCUCAUAUGCUUUGCACUCAGUUUCCUUAAUUAUUAACCUCUUACAUAGCACAUUUGUUACAAUUAAUGAACCAAUAUCGAUACAUUAUUAUUAUUAACUCCAUAUUACUAAUAGCUGCAUAUUAACUGCAUUGUGUGUGUGUGUGUGUGUGUGUGUGUGUGUGUGUGUGUGUGAGUUGCUCAGUCGUGUCCGACUCUUUGUGACCCAUGGACUGUAGUCCACCAGGCUCCUCUCUCUAUGGAAUUCUCUAGGCAAGAAUACUGGAGUGGGUAGCCAUUCCCUUUUCCAGAGACCUUCCCAACCCAGAGAUCAAACCCCGGUCUCCUGCACUGCAGGCAGAUUCUUUACCGUCUGAGCCACCAACUCAUCGAGUUGGACACCUUAAAUAUUUGCAAUUUUUAUUUAAAAUAUGUAAAGAAAAAAGGCAUCACCAUAAAAGAAAGUAAAAUAAACAAAAUGCUAUCAACAUACCCUUUCUCUCACUUGAAGAUACAAAAUAGUGAAAAUAGUUGCUGGAAUCCCCAAGCAUUACAAACUUUUGCUCCGGUUCCUGCUUCUGGUGAAUUCAUAGC
ensembl:lncRNA